GACGAACGCUGGCGGCGUGCCUAAUACAUGCAAGUCGAGCGCAGGAAGCUGACGGAACUCUUCGGAGGGAAGGCAGUGGAAUGAGCGGCGGACGGGUGAGUAACACGUAAGGAACCUGCCUCAAGGAUUGGGAUAACUCCGAGAAAUCGGAGCUAAUACCGGAUAGUUCAUCGGACCGCAUGGUCCGUUGAUGAAAGGCGCUUCGGCGUCACCUUGAGAUGGCCUUGCGGUGCAUUAGCUAGUUGGUGGGGUAACGGCCCACCAAGGCGACGAUGCAUAGCAGACCUGGGAGGGUGAUCGGCCACACUGGGACUGAGACACGGCCCAGACUCCUACGGGAGGCAGCAGUAGGGAAUCUUCCACAAUGGACGAAAGUCUGAUGGAGCAACGCCGCGUGAGUGAUGAAGGUUUUCGGAUCGUAAAACUCUGUUGUAAGGGAAGAACACGUACGGGAGGGAAUGCUCGUACCUUGACGGUACCUUACGAGAAAGCCACGGCUAACUACGUGCCAGCAGCCGCCGUAACAC
rnacentral:rRNA from 1 species